AGCAUAUCGCUAGCAUCUUUAAAUGGUCUAGACCUUCAGGGUUUCACCCCAACAAGUCCCAAUUUGUUUUCAGUUGUGAGACUUGAACCCAGAUCUUUGUAUACAACAGGCAGAUGCCUUGCCUCUCAGCUACAGUUCCAGCCCCUUACCCAGUCACUUGCCAGCUUCAGGCAAAAGUACCCAAGCAGUGUGAUGCCAGCUCACACUUUGUGUACGUUAAUGUUCCCGAUGGUGGUGGCACUCCGUUGGUUGCAGAAUGAAUGGACAUGGUGCAGAGCUGGGGAGAGCGGUUGGCGUAUUUAGAAAUUGCAUCUAUCAGGGUGGGACUUCCUGUGUCACUCGUGCAUGUGGGAGCUGGAGAAUGAAGACAAAGAAGUCUCUGAUUUAAAGAGACAGAGGAGAGAGUAUCUAUAUUCAACCAAGCAUGAGUGAAACCAAACUGCUUAGUUCUGCCCAAGGUUGAAUUCCCAAGGUUGCUAACUAACACAUAUGAAGCUGGAGAUGCUGGAGAUCCCUGUGGGAGCUCCUCGAGCAGUGUGCUGUGUGUGUUGUGUGUGAUAGUUGGUCCAACCUCCUUAGGCAUUCAAUGUGGACUCAACACCAGUGACUCUGCAGACAUCUUCAAAGCCUUCAGGACCUAAGUGAGGCUGUUGAGAAACCCAGCUUCUGGGAUUGAAAGCUUCUGGGCUCUGUCUCUCCAAGGUACAGACCUCUACGGCUGGACUCUCUGUCCUGUUGUGUAAGCCCGGCUAGUAAUACUGGUUUAUUAUUUGUA
rnacentral:lncRNA from 1 species